GAUGAACGCUGGCGGCGUGCCUAAUACAUGCAAGUCGAGCGAACAGACGAGGAGCUUGCUCCUCUGACGUUAGCGGCGGACGGGUGAGUAACACGUGGAUAACCUACCUAUAAGACUGGGAUAACUUCGGGAAACCGGAGCUAAUACCGGAUAAUAUAUUGAACCGCAUGGUUCAAUAGUGAAAGACGGUUUUGCUGUCACUUAUAGAUGGAUCCGCGCUGCAUUAGCUAGUUGGUAAGGUAACGGCUUACCAAGGCAACGAUGCGUAGCCGACCUGAGAGGGUGAUCGGCCACACUGGAACUGAGACACGGUCCAGACUCCUACGGGAGGCAGCAGUAGGGAAUCUUCCGCAAUGGGCGAAAGCUUGACGCAGCCACGCCGCGUGAGUGAUGAAGGUCUUCGGAUCGUAAAACUCUGUUAUUAGGGAAGAACAAAUGUGUAAGUAACUAUGCACGUCUUGACGGUACCUAAUCAGAAAGCCACGGCUAACUACGUG
rnacentral:rRNA from 1 species